AUGAACGCUAGCGACAGGCUUAACACAUGCAAGUCGAGGGGCAGCGGGGGAUAAGCUUGCUUUUCCUGCCGGCGACCGGCGCACGGGUGAGUAACACGUAUGCAACCUGCCCCUGUCAGAGGGAUAAUCCGGAGAAAUCCGGUCUAAUAUCGCAUAAAGCGUUUGCGGGGCAUCCUGCGAGCGCCAAAGGAGUAAUCCGGACAGGGAUGGGCAUGCGGCGCAUUAGCUAGUUGGGGGGGUAACGGCCCACCAAGGCGACGAUGCGUAGGGGUUCUGAGAGGAAGGUCCCCCACAUUGGUACUGAGACACGGACCAAACUCCUACGGGAGGCAGCAGUGAGGAAUAUUGGUCAAUGGGCGGAAGCCUGAACCAGCCAAGUCGCGUGAGGGAAGACGGCCCUAUGGGUUGUAAACCUCUUUUGCCGGGGAGCAAAAGCGCCGUGCGCGGUGCUAUGAGAGUACCCGGAGAAAAAGCAUCGGCUAACUCCGUGCCAGCAGCCGCGGUAAUACGGAGGAUGCGAGCGUUAUCCGGAUUUAUUGGGUUUAAAGGGUGCGUAGGCGGACAGUUAAGUCAGCGGUCAAAACGGGCGGCUCAACCGCCUGCCGCCGUUGAAACUGGCAGUCUAGAGUGGGCGAGAAGUACGCGGAAUGCGCGGUGUAGCGGUGAAAUGCAUAGAUAUUGCGCAGAACUCCGAUUGCGAAGGCAGCGUACCGGCGCCCGACUGACGCUGAGGCACGAAAGCGUGGGGAUCGAACAGGAUUAGAUACCCUGGUAGUCCACGCAGUAAACGAUGGACACUAUCUGUUCGGGUCGAAUGGGAUCUGAGUGGCACAGCGAAAGCGUUAAGUGUCCCACCUGGGGAGUACGCCGGCAACGGUGAAACUCAAAGGAAUUGACGGGGGCCCGCACAAGCGGAGGAACAUGUGGUUUAAUUCGAUGAUACGCGAGGAACCUUACCCGGGCUCAAACGCACGACGGCGGCACGUGAAAGCGUGCUUACCUACGGGACGUUGUGCGAGGUGCUGCAUGGUUGUCGUCAGCUCGUGUCGUGAGAUGUUGGGUUAAGUCCCGCAACGAGCGCAACCCCUAUUGUUAGUUGCCAUCAUUCAGUUGGGCACUCUAGCGAGACUGCCGGUAAUAAACCGGAGGAAGGUGGGGAUGACGUCAAAUCAUCAUGCCCCUUAUGAUCUGGGCUACACACGUGCUACAAUGGCGUAAACAAAGGGAAGCAAGCCUGCGAAGGUAAGCAAAUCCCAAAAAUAACGUCCCAGUUCGGACUGCAGUCUGCAACUCGACUGCACGAAGCUGGAAUCGCUAGUAAUCGCGGAUCAGCACGCCGCGGUGAAUACGUUCCCGGGCCUUGUACACACCGCCCGUCAAGCCAUGGAAGCCGGGAGUGCCUGAAGUGCGUGACCGCAAGGAGCGCCCUAGGGUAAAACCGGUGACUGGGGCU
rnacentral:rRNA from 1 species